CUUCGUCCACAGUUUAUGAGAUAGCAUUUUGGGUAUAUCAUGAAAAAAUAGUUCAAAUAUAUAAUAAAAUAACUUAUAAAAUAUUUGAUUACGAUGAUAUCAAUCUAAUAUCAGAAUGUUUUUGGGUCUGAUAUUGGUUAUGGAUAUAUGGUUUUAAUUGGAUUUGCAUUUCGACUUGGAUCUAACACACGUAGACUUGGUCAAAUCCAACAUGAACACGACCUGCCAACACCUCUAACCAUAUUUAUAAGUAAAAAUCAUCUCCACAUUCUAUGCACAUUGUCUCCUGCCAAGCUGUGGUGCUUGCCUAAAUUUGAUGGAUACCUCAUGACAAAAUCGAGAAAACUUAUAACCAUUAACAUAUAUGAAGUAUGCAUUUAGAGUGGAAUUAUUCUGGUUAUAGUGCACAGACGUGAUUUGUCUGAUUUCUAUUCUAAGUAACGAGAG
rnacentral:lncRNA from 1 species